UACGUAGGGUGCAAGCGUUAAUCGGAAUUACUGGGCGUAAAGCGUGCGCAGGCGGCUUUGCAAGACAGAUGUGAAAUCCCCGGGCUCAACCUGGGAACUGCAUUUGUGACUGCAUGGCUGGAGUGCGGCAGAGGGGGAUGGAAUUCCGCGUGUAGCAGUGAAAUGCGUAGAUAUGCGGAGGAACACCGAUGGCGAAGGCAAUCCCCUGGGCCUGCACUGACGCUGAGGAGCGAAAGCGUGGGGAGCGAACAGG
rnacentral:rRNA from 1 species